AAUCAGCUAAGUAUACUGCCA
rnacentral:misc_RNA from 1 species